UGUAUCGUCACAGGUUUAUCAAUUAUUCUUUCAAAUUUAUGCAUUGAGGAUGAGAUAUGUAGACCUAAUCUACCACCCUGUAUUGCACCUUUUCGCAAGCUCAGAACUGUGAAAUUUGAUAAUAAUGAUUGUUAUAAAAUGCAUCAGCUCUUUACAACACAUUUCCCUUUUGGACACCAGUAAUGUAUUUCAGUAUGCCUUAUAUACAUAUAUAUUAUUAAACAUUUGUGUUGACAUGGAAUAUUAUUGAUUUGUUCAUUUUUAUGUAAAUUUACUGUUUAUAAAAUGUUGAAUUAUUCGAAACACUUAGGUUUGUCUACCCCCAGGCAUAUAGUUUUCCUAAGUCGUAAACUGGCACAACUUUUCGGAAUUUUCGGUUUUUAAUGUUCUUUAACUUCGUUGUCGAUUUGGCCUUCGAACUGCUUUCAUUCGAGGGCCACUGGUGAGUCUUAUGUAAAAACGUGCGUCUGGCGUACCAAAUUAUCAGCCUGGUAUCUUUUAUGAGUUUUUAUAUCUGAUUUAGGCCUUCAUAUCUUCCAUUUAAGUAAUAUACAAAAAAUGGAAAAACUGUCUGAGUAUUGGGUUCUUUCCGACUAAGAUAAUCUGGACAUUUACGUCACGCCAUUUCACACUUAGUUUUGGUAAAAUUAGAUAUGAGUCAAGGCCUUACUCAACAUUAUAAUCUUUCUAUAGGACAUCCUGAAGUAAAACAUCUUUUAGUCAAGGACUUGGCGAAUAUCUAAGUACUAAUGCUAAUAUUUCAAAUUAAAAAAAAGUCUUUUUUUUUCCAUUACGUUGUCAGUUUAUUUUCGACAUAUAAGUUUGAAUGCACCUUUGGUAUCUUUCGCCUUUCUUUUACGACAUUUUAUUUUGUUAUGUUACGAAAGAACACGAUAGGUAUAAUGUCCGGCUUAGAUCAAGUUUUUUCAAGUGAAUUGGUCCACUUUUUCGGGUGUAGAUAAGGUUAUUUCGAGUAAUAUUACAUGCGAUCAGAUCGAUUUAUUGCUAUUUCGCAAGUAUGAUAGUUUUAUUCGUGAUUGUUCAUCUUAUUCUGAAUACUAUUGUGCGUUCGCACAAUUUCCUUGAAUUUCACUUAAAAUUCAGCGUUUUACAUUGUCCGUGUUUUUUUCGAGUGCAGUAUUUUUGAAAGAAAAUGUGAAUAAGAAAGAAGGCAUUCUAAAAUUGAUUUUUCUUAUAGUUUAUAACUGUAAUUUAGUGAAGAACAAUAUUAUAUAUUCCCAAUAAGUCACAAAAACAUAUAACAAUGCUGAUCAAGUUUAACCAAUUUCGAUUAAAUGUUGAUUGUCUGUACUGAAAACAUUUUACAAUAAACUUGCAGUAUUGCGAUAUAUAAGAAAUCAUUGCGUCUUUUUCAAAACAGUCUUUAGAAUUCAGGAGUACAGGGUACUCAUAACCUAUACAAUUCUUAUUUCAUGCUACUUUUGUUUUACAGUCAAUAAUGUUUUAUAAUAUAUUAACCCCUGAGUUUUAAAAACUAAGGCAAAACAGUAAAAAAAUUCAAUAUAAAUACAUGUAAAAAAAAAUCUACUUAAAGAGGCCUCCUCCCCCCCCC